CCUACGGGUGGCAGCAGUGAGGAAUAUUGGUCAAUGGGCGCAAGCCUGAACCAGCCAAGUCGCGUGAGGGAUGACGGUCCUAUGGAUUGUAAACCUCUUUUGUCGGGGAGCAAGGCCCGCCACGUGCGGCGGGAAGGAGAGUACCCGAAGAAAAAGCAUCGGCUAACUCCGUGCCAGCAGCCGCGGUAAGACGGGGGAUGCGGGCGUUAUCCGGAUUUAUUGGGGUGAAGGGGUGCGUAGGGGGAAGGUUAAGUCAGCGGUCAAACGUCGGUGCUCAACACCGGCCUGCCGUGGAAACUGGUCUGCUUGAGUGAGCGAGAGGUAUGCGGAAUGCGUGGUGUAGCGGUGAAAUGCAUAGAUAUCACGCAGAACUCCGAUUGCGAAGGCAGCAUACCGGCGCUCAACUGACGCUGAGGCACGAAAGCGUGGGGAUCGAACAGGAUUAGAUACCCGGGUAGUC
rnacentral:rRNA from 1 species